AACGUAGGAGACAAACGUUAUCCGGAGUUACUGGGCGUAAAGGGCGUGUAGGUGGUGCUGUAAGUUCGGCGUGAAAUUUUUCGGCUUAACCGGGAAAGGUCGUCGGAUACUGCAGGACUAGAGGACGGUAGAGGCGUGUGGAAUUCCGGGUGUAGUGGUGAAAUGCGUAGAGAUCCGGAGGAACACCAGUGGCGAAGGCGACACGCUGGGCCGUACCUGACACUGAUGCGCGACAGCAUGGGGAGCAAACAGG
rnacentral:rRNA from 1 species